rnacentral:rRNA from 1 species
AUGGUUAAGUUAGAAAGGGCGCACGGUGGAUGCCUUGGCACUAGGAGCCGAUGAAGGACGGGACGAACACCGAUAUGCUUCGGGGAGCUGUAAGCAAGCUUUGAUCCGGAGAUUUCCGAAUGGGGAAACCCACUGCUCGUAAUGGAGUAGUAUCCAUACUUGAAUACAUAGAGUAUGAGAAGGCAUACCCGGGGAACUGAAACAUCUAAGUACCCGGAGGAAGAGAAAGCAAAUGCGAUUCCCUGAGUAGCGGCGAGCGAAACGGGAACAGCCCAAACCAAGAGGCUUGCCUCUUGGGGUUGUAGGACACUCUAUACGGAGUUACAAAGGAACGAUAUAAGCGAAGAGGUCUGGAAAGGCCCGCCAAAGAAGGUAACAGCCCUGUAACUGAAAUGUUGUUCUCUCCAGAGUGGAUCCUGAGUACGGCGGAACACGUGAAAUUCCGUCGGAAUCCGGGAGGACCAUCUCCCAAGGCUAAAUACUCCCUAGUGACCGAUAGUGAACCAGUACCGUGAGGGAAAGGUGAAAAGCACCCCGGAAGGGGAGUGAAAUAGAUCCUGAAACCGUGUGCCUACAAGUAGUCAGAGCCCGUUAAAGGGUGAUGGCGUGCCUUUUGUAGAAUGAACCGGCGAGUUACGAUCCCGUGCAAGGUUAAGCAGAAGAUGCGGAGCCGCAGCGAAAGCGAGUCUGAAUAGGGCGCAUGAGUACGUGGUCGUAGACCCGAAACCAGGUGAUCUACCCAUGUCCAGGGUGAAGUUCAGGUAACACUGAAUGGAGGCCCGAACCCACGCACGUUGAAAAGUGCGGGGAUGAGGUGUGGGUAGGGGUGAAAUGCCAAUCGAACCUGGAGAUAGCUGGUUCUCUCCGAAAUAGCUUUAGGGCUAGCCUCAAGGUAAGAGUCUCGGAGGUAGAGCACUGAUUGGACUAGGGGCCCCUACCGGGUUACCGAAUUCAGUCAAACUCCGAAUGCCGAUGACUUAUCCUUGGGAGUCAGACUGCGAGUGAUAAGAUCCGUAGUCGAAAGGGAAACAGCCCAGACCGCCAGCUAAGGUCCCAAAGUAUACGUUAAGUGGAAAAGGAUGUGGAGUUGCUUAGACAACCAGGAUGUUGGCUUAGAAGCAGCCACCAUUUAAAGAGUGCGUAAUAGCUCACUGGUCGAGUGACUCUGCGCCGAAAAUGUACCGGGGCUAAACGUAUCACCGAAGCUGCGGACUGUUCUAACGAACAGUGGUAGGAGAGCGUUCUAAGUGCUGUGAAGUCAGACCGGAAGGACUGGUGGAGCGCUUAGAAGUGAGAAUGCCGGUAUGAGUAGCGAAAGACGGGUGAGAAUCCCGUCCACCGAAUGCCUAAGGUUUCCUGAGGAAGGCUCGUCCGCUCAGGGUUAGUCGGGACCUAAGCCGAGGCCGAAAGGCGUAGGCGAUGGACAACAGGUUGAUAUUCCUGUACCACCUCCUCACCAUUUGAGCAAUGGGGGGACGCAGGAGGAUAGGGUAAGCGCGGUAUUGGAUAUCCGCGUCCAAGCAGUUAGGCUGGGAAAUAGGCAAAUCCGUUUCCCGUGAAGGCUGAGCUGUGAUGGCGAGCGAAAUUUAGUAGCGAAGUUCCUGAUUCCACACUGCCAAGAAAAGCCUCUAGCGAGGUGAGAGGUGCCCGUACCGCAAACCGACACAGGUAGGCGAGGAGAGAAUCCUAAGGUGAUCGAGAGAACUCUCGUUAAGGAACUCGGCAAAAUGACCCCGUAACUUCGGGAGAAGGGGUGCUUCUUAGGGUGUUAAAGCCCCGAGAAGCCGCAGUGAAUAGGCCCAGGCGACUGUUUAGCAAAAACACAGGUCUCUGCGAAGCCGUAAGGCGAAGUAUAGGGGCUGACGCCUGCCCGGUGCUGGAAGGUUAAGAGGAGCGCUUAGCGUAAGCGAAGGUGCGAAUUGAAGCCCCAGUAAACGGCGGCCGUAACUAUAACGGUCCUAAGGUAGCGAAAUUCCUUGUCGGGUAAGUUCCGACCCGCACGAAAGGCGCAACGAUCUGGGCACUGUCUCAACGAGAGACUCGGUGAAAUUAUAGUACCUGUGAAGAUGCAGGUUACCCGCGACAGGACGGAAAGACCCCGUGGAGCUUUACUGCAGCCUGAUAUUGAAUGUUGGUACAGCUUGUACAGGAUAGGUAGGAGCCUUGGAAACCGGAGCGCUAGCUUCGGUGGAGGCAUCGGUGGGAUACUACCCUGGCUGUAUUGA